CUUGGUCAUUUAGAGGAAGUAAAAGUCGUAACAAGGUUUCCGUAGGUGAACCUGCGGAAGGAUCAUUAGUGAAUUAAACAUGCUUGGUGUCUUCGCUUCGGCAAGGCCCUUGCUUAACUCACAUCCCAACACCUGUGAACUGUAAGGCGCAUGACUAGGUUCGCCCAAGUCAUCGUCUGCCCUUUUUAACAAACAAUUAAUGUAACAAACGUAGUCUUAUUAUAACCUAAUAAAACUUUCAACAACGGAUCUCUUGGCUCUCGCAUCGAUGAAGAACGCAGCGAAAUGCGAUAAGUAAUGUGAAUUGCAGAAUUCAGUGAAUCAUCGAAUCUUUGAACGCACCUUGCGCUCUUUGGUAUUCCGAAGAGCAUGCCUGUUUGAGUGUCAUGAAAAUAUCAACCUUGACUUGGGUUUUGUGCUCUAGUCUCGGCUUGGAAUUGGGUGCUUGCCGCUUUUACGAGCGGCUCACCUUAAAUGUAUUAGCUGGAUCUGUCUUUGAGACUUGGUUUGACUUGGCGUAAUAAGUAUUUCGCUAAGGACAUUCUUCGGAGUGGCCUCGUUUCUAGGACGCUUGUCCGCUUUCCAGUACAAGUUCCACCUCGUGGACAUGACUUUUUAUUAUCUGGCCUCAAAUCAGGUAGGACUACCCGCUGAACUUAAGCAUAUCAAUAAGCGGAGGAAAAGAAACUAACAAGGAUUCCCCUAGUAACGGCGAGUGAAGCGGGAAAAGCUCAAAUUUGAAAUCUGGCAGCCUCAGGUUGUCCGAGUUGUAAUCUAUAGAAACGUUUUCCGCGCUGGCCCAUGUACAAGUCCCUUGGAAUAGGGCGUCAUAGAGGGUGAGAAUCCCGUCCUUGACACGGACCACCAGUGCUUUGUGAUACGUUUUCAACGAGUCGAGUUGUUUGGGAAU
rnacentral:sRNA from 1 species